rnacentral:rRNA from 1 species
GACGAACGCUGGCGGCGUGCCUAAUACAUGCAAGUCGAGCGAAGUUUUUCUGGUGCUUGCCCCGGAAAUACUUAGCGGCGGACGGGGGAGUCACACGUAAAGAACCUCCCUCAUAGACUGGGACAAAUAUCGGAAACGAUAGCUAAUACCGGAUAACAGCCUUAACGGCAUGGCUGAUGUUGAAAAGUUUGUUUUGCUAACACUAUGAGAUGGCUUUGCGGUGUAUUAGCUAGUUGGUGGGGUAAUGGCCUACCAAGGCGGCGAUGCAUAGCCGACCUGAGAGGGUGAUCGCCCACCCUGGGACUGAGACACGGCCCAGACUCCUGCGGGAGGCAGCAGCAGGGAAUCUUCCGCAAUGGGCGAAAGCCUGACGGUGCAACGCCGCGUGAGUGAUGAAGGAGUUCUGUUCGUAGAGCUCUGUUGUGAGGGAAGAAGGAAUGUGUAGUAACUAGGCACGGUAGUGACGGUACCUGCCCAGAAAGCCCCGGCUAACUACGUG